AUAUUUAGGCCAUGCUGAAACUAGAAGAAAAAAACUCUCAUGGGCCCAGUGGUACAUGACUAUAGUACCAGCUACUCCAGAGACUGAGAAAAAGUCCAUGAUCUCAAUUGAACUGCAUAGACAAGCUAAGAAUAUAAUGGAAGGAAUUAUUUCUGAAUUUUCAAGUAUAGUUUCAACUAAAGACAUAAGUCAUUGGUGGAUAAAAAUGAAGAUGCCUCCAAGCAAGAGACGUUUUCCCUUUCUGCAGAUUCUUUUAAGACAAUAGGGUCCUAAUAGCAAUAAAUCUGAUGCAGAGGAAUUGAUAAAACUAUAUAUAGGUGCAUUCUGUGACUAUGAGAAAUAAAAGAUUAUAUUUUCAUUUGCAUGGUUUGCUGGGUUUUAUUUGGCAGAUAUAAUAACACAGGCUUCGCAGAGCCCAUAAAACAAAGUG
rnacentral:lncRNA from 1 species